AGCGCCACCGGAUCGACCGCGCGGGUCACCGUCAGGUAGUCGCGGAUGACCGUGCUGUGCCGGUUCUC
rnacentral:sRNA from 1 species